AAAGAUUAAGCCAUGCAUGUCUAAGUAUAAGCAAUUAUACCGUGAAACUGCGAAUGGCUCAUUAAAUCAGUUAUCGUUUAUUUGAUAGUACCUUACUACUUGGAUAACCGUGGUAAUUCUAGAGCUAAUACAUGCUAAAAACCCCAACUUCGGGAGGGGUGUAUUUAUUAGAUAAAAAACCAAUGCCCUUCGGGGCUCUUUGGUGAUUCAUGAUAACUUAACGGAUCGCAUGGCCUUGCGCCGGCGACGGUUCAUUCAAAUUUCUGCCCUAUCAACUUUCGAUGGUAAGGUAUUGGCUUACCAUGGUUU
rnacentral:rRNA from 2 species